GACGAACGCUGGCGGCGUGCUUAACACAUGCAAGUCGAACGGAAAGGCCCUGCUUUUGUGGGGUGCUCGAGUGGCGAACGGGUGAGUAACACGUGAGUAACCUGCCCUUGACUUUGGGAUAACUUCAGGAAACUGGGGCUAAUACCGGAUAGGAGCUCCUGCUGCAUGGUGGGGGUUGGAAAGUUUCGGCGGUUGGGGAUGGACUCGCGGCUUAUCAGCUUGUUGGUGGGGUAGUGGCUUACCAAGGCUUUGACGGGUAGCCGACCUGAGAGGGUGACCGGCCACAUUGGGACUGAGAUGCGGCCCAGACUCCUACGGGAGGCAGCAGUGGGGAAUAUUGCCCAAUGGGCGGAAGCAUGAUGCAGCAACGCCGCGUGCGGGAUGACGGCAUUCGGGUUGUAAACCGCUUUCGCCUGUGACGAAGCGUGAGUGACGGUAAUGGGUAAAGAAGCACCGGCUAACUACGUG
rnacentral:rRNA from 1 species